rnacentral:rRNA from 1 species
CUUGAACGCUGGCGGCAGGCCUAACACAUGCAAGUCGAACGAGUGGCGGACGGGUGAGUAAUGUCUGGGAAACUGCCUGAUGGAGGGGGAUAACUACUGGAAACGGUAGCUAAUACCGCAUACCAUCAGAUGUGCCCAGAUGGGAUUAGCUAGUUGGUGGGGUAACGGCUCACCAAGGCGACGAUCCCUAGCUGGUCUGAGAGGAUGACCAGCCACACUGGAACUGAGAAACGGUCCAGACUCCUACGGGAGGCAGCAGGGGGGAAGAUUGCACAAGGGGCGCAAGCCUGAGGCAGCCAGGCCGCGGGUAUGAAGAAGGCCUGCGGGUUGUAAAGUACUGUCAGCGGGGAGGCGGUACCCGCAGAAGAAGCACCGGCUAACUCCGUGCCAGCAGACGCGGUAAUAC